UGGAAAUCUGUGGCAGGUGCCGCGGUGAGACAGGGGGUGCGAGCGUUAAUCGGAUUUACUGGGCGUAAAGCGGGCGUAGGCGGCUUUUUAAGUCGGAUGUGAAAUCCCCGAGCUUAACUUGGGAAUUGCAUUCGAUACUGGGAAGCUAGAGUAUGGGAGAGGAUGGUAGAAUUCCAGGUGUAGCGGUGAAAUGCGUAGAGAUCUGGAGGAAUACCGAUGGCGAAGGCAGCCAUCUGGCCUAAUACUGACGCUGAGGUACGAAAGCAUGGGGAGCAAACAGGAUUAGAUACCCCUGUAGUC
rnacentral:rRNA from 1 species